rnacentral:lncRNA from 1 species
UCAGUCUUCCUCUUACAGAGUCCUUCUCCCACUCUUCUCUCUUUCUUCUCUGAGAUGGUGGGGGCCCCUGGGUAUCACCUCACCCUGGUGCAUCAAGUCUCUGCAGGGUUAGGGACAUAUUCUUCCUCUGCAGUUACAAAAGGCCCCUAGGGGGUCUUGGUCCAGCCCUUGUAUGCUUUUUGUGGUGGCUCAGACUCUGAGAGCUGCCAAGGGUCCAUUUGUUGACUCUGUUGGUCUUCUUGAAGUUCCUCUCCCCUUAAGGGUCCUCAAUCCUUCCCCCAACUCUUCCAUAGGAGUCCCCAACCUCCCUUCAAUGUUUGGCUAUGGCUCUCUGCAUCUGUUUCAGUCAGUUGCUGGGUAGAGCCUCUUAGAAGACUGUAAUGCUAAGGUCCUACCUGUAAGCAUAAUGAGUGUCAAGGAUUGGUGCUUCCCUAUGAGAUGGAUCUAAAGUUAGGUCUGCUGGAUAUUGGUUGACCAUUCCUUCAUUAUCUACUCCAUCUUUGUCCCUGCAUUUCAUUUAGACAGAAGACAUUUGGGGUAGAAAGUUGUGUCUGUGGGUGGGUUGGUAUCCUUAUCCUUUCACUGGGGUUUCUGGCUGGCUAUAGAAGGUGGUCUCUUCUGGUUUCAUGUCCCCAGUCUUAGGCAUCUUGGGUAAGAGCACCAGCAUUGACUCCUGGGAGCCUCCCGCAUCCUAGAUCUCUGGGUCUUGUAGAGAUCGCUCUCACACCCACCUCUGACAACUAUAGAUUUCCAUUCAUUGUCCUGUCGUCCUGGCCCUCUGUCCUGUCUCUCCCAACAGCUGAUCCUGACCUCUCCCCAUUCCCCUGCCCAUCUCUUCUCCCAUCCAGUUCCCUUCCUCUCUAUUUUCAUUAUCUGCAAAUGCAACUGGAUCAUUUCUGUCUUAGGCAUCAAUUUUCUGGCCAUACCUUUGUAUUUACUUCUCCUAUAGUCUAUGGCUUUAGGGACUUUUUUUUUAAUUCAUCAAGCAUUUGUCCAAUAUUUGGCAUGUAAGACUUUAUCUCCAUCUCCAGCUGUUGAAACUCUGCUAUCCUUGCGGUGGUGAAUCAUUCCUAAAAUGUGAACCUGUCUUAUUUUAGUAACAGGGAUUCUAUUUAGUGCUCAAUGCUGAUGAACCAGAAUGGAGGUCUGAGAGUUUGUGUGACAGGUAAGAGAAAAAAAAAAAAGGAAAAAAAAAAAGUGAGUGCAUGGAGGCUGUGAGAAAUGUGGAAGCAAACAGAUUUGUUGGAAAACAAGCUUUAACAUUUGAAGAGGAAGUACCACAUCAAAAACAGGAAUGGAGAGGCACCUCAUCUCUGAAGACGUGAUUCAAGUUGUUACACUUGCAUAGUGGGAAUGGUACAGGCUAUGCAGGAGACAUGAUUAUAGAGUGGCUUGGAAGAUGAUCUUUUUUAGACAAUCCAGAGCCUGAACCCCUGCUCCCUCCUCUCUGCUGUGUAUGUCAUCUUGGCAGGAGUCUUGGAGCUCCUUCCUACGACUUAACAAGAACUGACUGUGUGCAUCAUCACCCUAACCUCACGCCCCAUGGCAACCCAGCAGUGGACCACACAGAGCAGAGGUGAUUUAGAGCAUCGCGACUGACAAUUCCAAAUUAGGCAAAUCAGAGCUUCAUUUCUCCUGUGUUACUUCAGCAUCCAACGGCUGGAGGUUGCCAACAUUUCCUACCUUUUUCAGUCUUCCUCCUUUAUUGGAAAAGAAACAGAAUGACAGUUCUCUCUGCAUAAAAUUGUGCAGGCCUUUCAAUAGAUAGUAUAUUUCAUGUUUCCUGUAUGUCGCAAACAUCAAUCUCAUAACUCUUAUAAUUUAAUUCAGCGUGUUCUACAGAACUGUGAACACUUUUGCAAUUCUAAUGCACUAGAAAGCAUUUCAAUUAGUUCAUCACAAUUCCAGGGGAAGGGGAUUCUGUAAAAAUAAUUUUACAGAUGAUUUUACAGGUGAGAUGUUUUCCUCUAAGUAUUAUUAGAAAGUUC